AAAAAAUUUGCACCGGUACUCUGCAGAAAAAAGUCCAAAACCCUUAUCAAAGCUCUAAAAUUUCUGAGCUUGUUGAGAUUUCACAUUGGAUCUCAACAAGUUUGAGCUAAAAACCACUACACGGAACGGACCAAUGAUAACCAUACAUACAAGAAGAACACGAAGGAAGGAAAAAGAAUAGAGAAAUACCUGAAGCAGAUCAAACCUCCUUGUUGUCGGUAUCCUUUCACAUUUACUUCCUUCACGCUGAAACCUUUAACAUAACUGUUAUUUGUUCAUGAUUGAGUUUGUAUUUCAACUUCCACCAUAGCAUAUAGUGACUUGGUAAUUGUUGAAUGAGUGUGUCGGUUUGUUUAGACUAUAUCAUUUGAAGUCCUUACGCUUCUUUGCUUCUCUAUACAUGCACAAUUCGUUGGUUAUUGAUUUUUUUGGGGAUUUGGGAUUUAGGGUAUAAUCGAUAACUGGGUAUGUAUGAUCGGUUUUGAUGUUCACCAGGGAUGAAUCAAUUUGUUGCUAGAUCUUUGCUUAGGACUUUGGUUAAAAACAUGAUGGCAUUGUUUCGGAGAUGGAGAGGGUCGAAGAUCUGAGAGAAGAGAGUGGAGAUUUGUUUUUGUGGUGGUUUUUUAAUUGCAUUUUAAUUAUGUUGAUGAUGGAAAGUAUGAAUCAUAGCUAGAUGCAGGUCAAUUAAUUAAUCAUAAAGUGCUAACAUUUCCCUAGACGCACGCGUUGUCCACCACCUGGGGAAGACCGUGGUCACGCGGACUCAGUGUUUUGGGUUUUUUUUUUUUCCUUUCACUCGGAACCUUUUGGGCGAGUCUAGAAGAGUUUGGGCUUAAGGCCCAUUUCAAAUUUUUGUUGCUGAGUAUAAAAAAGGAUUUUAGGGCCUUGGGGCCUAUUGCGAACCCUAGCCAGCUUUUAGGGCUUUACCCCCUGUUCAUUUUCCAUACCCCCUAAUUCUUUGGUUUAUUAAUUUCUUAUUUUGUAUGUUUUAUAAAAAAUAAUUACAGUAGCUUAAUUUUGAUUAUUAUUUCUAAUCAAAUUUUAGAACAUCAUAAUUAAUUAAAAUGUCUAAGUAUUUUACUUUUAAUCUUUAAAUGAAAAGGAGAAUAGUAAGCCUCCGCUUCACUAUUUCCCAAUUACUCGAAUAAUUGGCGUACGCCAUAUUGCGCGAGUUCUUGUCAUCCGAUUACAUCCUUAAACACAAUUUCAAAUCACUUUUCAAAAUAUAAUAUAAUUUCAAAAGAUUUUUCUCUUUUAAAUAUAGCUUGGGAUGAAAAGGAGAUAGGAAGCGUACGCUUCACUAUUUCUCAAGCACUUGAACAAUUGGCGUACGCCAUAUUGCGUGAGUUCUUG
rnacentral:lncRNA from 1 species